rnacentral:tRNA from 1 species
UCCCUCUUAGCUCAGUUGGUAGAGCGCGUCACUAGUAAUAACGAGGUCAGUCGUUCAAGUCGGCUAGAGGGAA